AACGAACGCUGGCGGCAGGCCUAACACAUGCAAGUCGAGCGAGGACUUCGGUCCUAGCGGCGGACGGGUGAGUAACGCGUGGGAACGUGCCCUUUGCUUCGGAAUAGCCCUGGGAAACUGGGAGUAAUACCGGAUGAGCCCUUUGGGGGAAAGAUUUAUCGGCGAAGGAUCGGCCCGCGUUGGAUUAGGUAGUUGGUGGGGUAAUGGCCUACCAAGCCGACGAUCCAUAGCUGGUUUGAGAGGAUGAUCAGCCACACUGGGACUGAGACACGGCCCAGACCCCACGGGGGGGAGGAAGGGGGGAUUCUGAACAAGGGGGGGAAACCCGAUUCUACCAUGGCCGGGGGGGGAAUAAGGGCUUUGGGGUGUAAAAGCCUUUUCACCGGGAAAAAAAAGGCGGGUCCCAGAAAAAGAACCCCGGCUAACCCCGUG
rnacentral:rRNA from 1 species